rnacentral:rRNA from 1 species
AUCUGUGGCCAUACCACCCUGAACGUGCACGAUCUCGUCUGAUCUCAGAAGCUAAGCAGGGUCGGGCCUGCUUAGUACUUGGAUGGCAGACCAUCUGGGAAUACCAAGUGCCAUAGGCA